AUUGAACGCUGGCGGCAUGCCUUACACAUGCAAGUCGAACGGCAGCUCGGGUGCUUGCACCUGGUGGCGAGUGGCGAACGGGUGAGUAAUACAUCGGAACGUACCUUAUCGUGGGGGAUAACGCAGCGAAAGCUGUGCUAAUACCGCAUACGCCCUGAGGGGGAAAGCGGGGGAUCGAAAGACCUCGCGCGAUUAGAGCGGCCGAUGCCUGAUUAGCUUGAUGGUGGGGUAAAAGCCCACCAAGGCGACGAUCAGUAGCUGGUCUGAGGGGACGAGCAGCCACACUGGGACCGAGACACGGCCCAGACUGCGACGGGGGGCAGCAGUGGGGAAUUUUGGACACUGGGGGCAACCCUGAUCCAGCAAUGCCGCGUGAGUGAAGAAGGCCUUCGGGUUGUAAAGCUCUUUUGUCAGGGAAGAAACACCGGCUCUAACACAGUCAGGGAAUGACGGUACCUGAAGAAUAAGCACCGGCUAACUACGUGCCAGCCGCCGCCGUAA
rnacentral:rRNA from 1 species